rnacentral:rRNA from 1 species
CGGCGGACGGGUGAGUAAUGUAUGGGGAGUCUGCCUGAUGGCGGGGGAUAACUACUGGAAACGGUAGCUAAUACCGCAUAACGUCGCAAGACCAAAGAGGGGGACCGUUCGGGCCUCUUGCCAUCGGAUGUGCCCAGAUGGGAUUAGCUAGUAGGUGGGGUAACGGCUCACCUAGGCGACGAUCCCUAGCUGGUCUGAGAGGAUGACCAGCCACACCGGAACUGAGACACGGUCCAG